rnacentral:sRNA from 1 species
UAACAAAUUGGUAAUACAAUUGCACAGUAAUGGCAAUAACAAAAGCAAAUUUGUAAUAAACUGUUUUCCUACAAGGUAUUCUCACAAAGGUAUUACCUAGCAUGAUUUAAAGUUAUUGGGUGGUAAAGCUGAAGAAUUUUAUGAACAUUAAUAUUAACUUAUGGGAUUUUGAAAACGAUAUUAUUUUGCCUUGAACAAAUAUAAAACUUUGCCAUAUCCAUGAUUUUACAUGUACUACCGGGUAUAUCCAUAUUUGUAUUUAACCAGCUUUUUUGUACUGGUGGUCUUCUAGUAAUUUGAAAUUCAAUCUGUACUUUGAAAAGAUAUGCUAUUAAGUGUGAAAACUAAUUUUAUAGCAUUUUGGUGCAUAUGAAUUGAAAUUAAAAAUCAUUUACAGAUGAUCAUGUUCAUAUGUUGUAUUCUUGUACAUGUAAAUUGUAUAUGCUGAAAGACUGAUUUCUCAUUCAUUCAGACAGUUUGGUAGAUUGUGAAUUAAUAAAUAGAUAUUAUCACAUC